rnacentral:hammerhead_ribozyme from 1 species
AUCCAGCUGACGAGUCCCAUAUAAGACGAAAUGUGCAUCCUGGAU